rnacentral:sRNA from 1 species
UUCUUAAAUAAACUUGCCCAUACGUUAAC